rnacentral:rRNA from 1 species
GAUCAUGCCUCAGGACGAACGCUGGCGGCGCGCCUAACACAUGCAAGUCGAACGGGCGAGAGAGAGCUUGCUUUCUCGAGCGAGUGGCGAACGGGUGAGUAACGCGUGAGGAACCUGCCUCAAAGAGGGGGACAACAGUUGGAAACGACUGCUAAUACCGCAUAAGCCCACAGGUCGGCAUCGACCAGAGGGAAAAGGAGCAAUCCGCUUUGAGAUGGCCUCGCGUCCGAUUAG